ACGGGGUGCAGCAGGCGCGAAACCUCCACAAUUCACGAAAGUGAGAUGGGGUUACCUCGAGUGCCGUCUGAAGAAGGCGGCUUUUCCAUUGUGUAAUGAGCCGUGGGAAUAAGAGGGGGGCAAGACUGGUGUCAGCCGCCGCGGUAACACCAGCCCCUCGAGUGGUGGGGAUGAUUAUUUGGCCUAAAGCGUCCGUAGCCAGCUUUGUAAAUCUCCCGUUAAAUCCAACGUCCUAAGCGUUGGGCUGCGAGAGACACUGCAGAACUAGAGGGUGGGAGAGGUCAGCGGUAUUCCUGGGGUAGGGGCGAAAUCCAUUGAUCCCAGGAGGACCACCAGUGGCGAAGGCUGCUGACUUGAACACGCCUGACGGUCAGGGACGAAAGCUGGGGUAGCGAAUCGGAUUAGAUACCCGAGUAGUCCCAGCCGUAAACGAUGCAGGCUAGGUGUUGGGUUGGCCACGUGCCAGCUCAGUGCCACAGGGAAGCCAUUAAGCCUGCCGCCUGGGAGUACGCCGCAAGGC
rnacentral:rRNA from 1 species